CCUACGGGUGGCAGCAGUGGGGAAUAUUGGGCAAUGGGCGCAAGCCUGACCCAGCAACGCCGCGUGAAGGAAGAAGGCUUUCGGGUUGUAAACUUCUUUUCUCAGGGACGAAGAAAGUGACGGUACCUGAUGAAUAAGCCACGGCUAACUACGUGCCAGCAGCCGCGGUAAUACGUAGGUGGCAAGCGUGAUCCGGAUUUAUUGGGUGUAAAGGGCGUGUAGGCGGGAGCGCAAGUCAGAUGUGAAAACGCAGGGCUCAACCCUGAGCCUGCAUUUGAAACUGUGUUUCUUGAGUGCUGGAGAGGCAAGCGGAAUUCGGGGUGUAGCGGUGAAAUGCGUAGAUAUACGGAGGAACACCAGUGGCGAAGGCGGAUUGCUGAACAGUAACUGACGCUGAGGCGCGAAAGCGUGGGGAGCAAACAGGAUUAGAUACCCUUGUAGUC
rnacentral:rRNA from 1 species